rnacentral:rRNA from 1 species
UGUGUUGUUGUUAAGGGCGCACGGUGGAUGCCUUGGCACAGAAGAGCCGAUGAAGGACGUGGGAGGCUGCGUUAUGCCUCGGGGAGUUGCCAACCGAGCGUUGAUCCGAGGAUGUCCGAAUGGGGAAACCCGGCCGUGGUUAUGUGCGGUCACCCGCCGGUGAAUAGAUAGCCGGUGUGGAGGGAACGCGGGGAAGUGAAACAUCUCAGUACCCGUAGGAAGAGAAAACAAUAGUGAUUCCGUCAGUAGCGGCGAGCGAAAGCGGAUGGUGGCUAAACCGUGUGCGUGUGAUACCUGGCAGGGGUUGCGUGCACGGGGUUGUGGGGCGAUGUUGUGUGG